rnacentral:rRNA from 1 species
GUCCAGACUCCUACGGGAGGCAGCAGUGGGGAAUAUUGCACAAUGGGGGAAACCCUGAUGCAGCGACGCCGCGUGAGUGAAGAAGUAUUUCGGUAUGUAAAGCUCUAUCAGCAGGGAAGAAAAUGACGGUACCUGACUAAGAAGCCCCGGCUAACUACGUGCCAGCAGCCGCGGUAAUACGUAGGGGGCAAGCGUUAUCCGGAUUUACUGGGUGUAAAGGGAGCGUAGACGGCUGUGCAAGCCAGAUGUGAAAGCCCGGGGCUCAACCCCGGGACUGCAUUUGGAACUGUGUGGCUGGAGUGUCGGAGAGGCAGGCGGAAUUCCUAGUGUAGCGGUGAAAUGCGUAGAUAUUAGGAGGAACACCAGUGGCGAAGGCGGCCUGCUGGACGAUGACUGACGUUGAGGCUCGAAAGCGUGGGGAGCAAACAGGAUUAGAUACCCGUGUAGA